rnacentral:tRNA from 2 species
GGGUCUAUAGCUCAGUCGGUUUAGAGCGCACGCCUGAUAAGCGUGAGGUCGAUGGUUCGAGUCCACCUAGACCCA